UGCCUGGUACAUCUAGAAAAUCCAGACAUCCAAGGAAUGAAGGACAGUGGCGAAACAUAGGGAUAUUGCUGUUGCAAGUUGCAGCUGUUGUUUAAUUUUUUUUCUUGUUUUUUUUUUUUUUUUCACACUGGUCAGUGUGUGAGUGCUUACAGUACAUGGAUCAAGGUGUGUUGAUUACUUCAAAGGCAUCCUAGAGGGAGAUUCAAGCUACAAUCAAUAAUUGAACACCCCUUGAAGUAAUCAACCAAGCAAUCAAUAAAAUUGAACUUGAUUCCCCAAACAAUGUUUUUUAUU
rnacentral:ribozyme from 12 species